rnacentral:rRNA from 1 species
ACGACUCUCGGCAACGGAUAUCUCGGCUCACGCAUCGAUGAAGAACGUAGCAAAAUGCGAUACUUGGUGUGAAUUGCAGAAUCCCGUGAACCAUCGAGUUUUUGAACGCAAGUUGCGCCCGAAGCCAUCCGGUUGAGGGCACGUCUGCCUGGGCGUCACGCAUC